rnacentral:rRNA from 1 species
CGGUGGAGCAUGUGGUUUAAUUCGAAGCAACGCGAAGAACCUUACCAGGCCUUGACAUGCAGAGAACUUUCCAGAGAUGGAUUGGUGCCUUCGGGAACUCUGACACAGGUGCUGCAUGGCUGUCGUCAGCUCGUGUCGUGAGAUGUUGGGUUAAGUCCCGUAACGAGCGCAACCCUUGUCCUUAGUUACCAGCACGUUAUGGUGGGCACUCUAAGGAGACUGCCGGUGACAAACCGGAGGAAGGUAGGGAUGACGUCAAGUCAUCAUGGCCCUUACGGCCUGGGCUACACACGUGCUACAAUGGUCGGUACAAAGGGUUGCCAAGCCGCGAGGUGGAGCUAAUCCCAUAAAACCGAUCGUAGUCCGGAUCGCAGUCUGCAACUCGACUGCGUGAAGUCGGAAUCGCUAGUAAUCGUGAAUCAGAAUGUCACGGUGAAUACGUUCCCGGGCCUU